rfam:Idiomarina xiamenensis 10-D-4 contig14, whole genome shotgun sequence.
CGUAUGGUGUCUGGCGUUCAGCGACCAGAUAGCGAUGCGGCCUAACUUGAGGU